rnacentral:rRNA from 1 species
GUAGGGAAUAUUGGUCAAUGGACGAAAGUCUGAACCAGCCAUUCCGCGUGCAGGAAGAAGAUUCUAUGGAUUGUAAACUGCUUUUAGCAGAGAAGAAACGCCUUCAUUGAUGAGGGUUUGACGGUAUCUGCGGAAUAAGCACCGGCUAACUCCGUGCCAGCAGCCGCGGUAAUACGGGGGGUGCAAGCGUUAUCCGGAAUCACUGGGUGUAAAGGGUGCGUAGGCGGGAAAUUAAGUCAGUGGUGAAAGUCUGUUGCUUAACGAUAGAAUUGCCGUUGAUACUGAUUUUCUUGAAUUGGGUUGAGGUUAGCGGAAUGUGACAUGUAGCGGUGAAAUGCAUAGAUAUGUCAUGGAACACCAAUUGCGAAGGCAGCUAGCUGGGCCUUGAUUGACGCUGAGGCACGAAAGCGUGGGUAGCGAACAGGAUUAGAAACCCCGGUAGUCC